rnacentral:rRNA from 1 species
UACGAAGGGGGCUAGCGUUGCUCGGAAUUACUGGGCGUAAAGGGCGCGUAGGCGGCUUGAUAAGCGUGCGGUGAAAGCCCGGGGCUCAACCCCGGGUCGGCCGUGCGAACUGUCGAGCUGGAGCACUGUAGAGGCAGGUGGAAUUCCGGGUGUAGCGGUGGAAUGCGUAGAGAUCCGGAAGAACACCGGUGGCGAAGGCGGCCUGCUGGGCAGUGGCUGACGCUGAGGCGCGACAGCGUGGGGAGCAAACAGG